CUGGUACUAGGCCGCACACGGACCUGGAGGGGUUGAGGAUCCCAGAGGAACCACGUCCAUGCAAACCGCGACCACUCAAGCGGUUUUCCUAGGGACCGGGGAUAACAGCUUUAUCUGGCGCGGGGUAGUACCGCGGAGGAACUGAGAGCUGGAAAAAAAAAAAAUCACUAGGAAAAAUGGACCCUGUAAAGACCCACUGGGGAAUACUCUGCUUCUAAUCAGGCUGGGCGUGACCUGAGGGACCACUGCAGGUGGUCAUGCAAACCUAAUGCUAACACUGAAGCACUGUGCUACAAGGGGAUAGGAAUCCAACUGGAGGUGUUGGACAUACUUAUUGUCUGAUCUAGUCCCAUCACGCUGCAAACAUACACACAUAGGGAAGAGGAGAAACGCAGCACUGAUGGGAGCAUUGUCCUUUUCAUGAAAUACUAGGACAAGUGAGCUACUUAGUGCAUCUUUGCUGACAUCAAGUGACAACCCGAGAGCUGAAUUUGGCUUUCAUGCAGAAAUCCUUUCUGCCUGUCCAAUCAAGUGUGGAAAGUGUCAGAGUCCGUCUGAAAAAAAAAAUCCCUCUCCAGCUAGAAGCAGAACUGCACUAAUCAAUUAAAUGUUACUGGGCUAAAUUAUACAAAUAAGUAUGCAUAAACUGAAUUAGCAAUACAGUUGGUGUUAUGGCUCCCUAACUCCAAUAUAAACAAAGUAUUGUAGGUUAUUGCUUAGUAACAAUGAAUUCACGAACAGUACACAAGAAUAAAGUAUAAGUGUAGGGUAUAUGACUUAAAACUAGUAGUCUUGCUCUGUGUGAUUCUGCCUCUCUGCUCAUUCAAAUUGCGUAUGUUUUUUUAAGUUUCCCAGACAUGAGCACAAGCAGUCAAAGACACAGACCUGGAUAAGAAAAAUCUUGAAGCAUGCAUGCCUUUAGAUGUCCUGUGAAACACAUGACCCGAGAGGGUUUGGUUUUUCUUUUUAGACCCUGGCCUGAAACUCUACUAACUUUCAGAUUUCCUUUUGGCAAGAAAACAAAUCCUGUGAAGCAGCAGAGAUGCUCUUGUACGAGUACAUGCAGAGGCUGGCUUGGAAGUUUUGCAACACGUGGUCAGUAAGGAAGCAGUCUCUCUGCAGCAGUUACAUGUAAGCAGUGUUGCACAGUAGCCGCCUCUCCACUCCCCAGUUAACGGCCCCCAGGGAGGGUGUGUUACCUCACAAACUCACCACAGUAAGCCGUGACAUCCUCAAACCCUGUGCUGCUUGGUGUGGGCACCCUCCUGGAGAGGAGUCAUGAAGCUGCAUACAUUGUGCUGUGGGCAGUGAUGAGCAUGCACAGCAUGAAUGCAGCUACACUGCUUCUGGAACAGGAAUUAGUUUAUGCAGAGCAGCAUGGCAUGCUUGGAGAUGCCCUACCUGGCACAGCAACUCUGCGGUAUAGAUAUGCUUAGGGAAAUAUUUUUCUUGUAAAUGCUUCCUGUUUUCUGUCCCAGAGGCUUGUUUAUAACUCAGGUACAAGAUCUGUGGUAGGCAGUCCUUCUGAACACAAGGCCUUAGUCAAGGAGCUAUUUUAACAAAGAAUUGUAUAGUCUUCUUACUGGUUUAGAUUAUCUGUGCGCCAGAAUGUUAAAUGACUAGUCAUGUCUCACCCUU